AUUGAACGCUGGCGGCAGGCCUAACACAUGCAAGUCGAGCGAGCGCCGGACUGGUGAGUACUGUAUGGGGACUGCCCGAUAGCGGGGGAUAACUACUGGAAACGGUGGCUACUACCGCAUACUGUCGGAUCACCCAUAUGGGAUGAGUGAGUCGGUUAGGUAGUGGCUUACCUAGGCGACGAUCCCUAGCUGGUCUGAGAGGAUGACCAGCCACACUGUGACUGAUGCAGGGCCCAGACGCCUACGGAGGCAGCAGGGGGGAAUAUUGCACAAUGGGCGCAAGUCUGAUUCAGCCAUGCCGCGUGUAUGAAGAAGGCCAUAGGGUUGUAAAGUAUUUUCAGUGGGGAGGCGUUGCCGGCAGAAGAAGCACCGGCUAAAUCCGUGCCAGCAGCGGCGGUAAUUC
rnacentral:rRNA from 1 species